UACGAAGGGGGCUAGCGUUGCUCGGAAUUACUGGGCGUAAAGCGCUCGUAGGCGGAUUUUUAAGUCAGGGGUGAAAUCCUGGAGCUCAACUCCAGAACUGCCUUUGAUACUGAGGACCUUGAGUUCGGGAGAGGUGAGUGGAACUGCGAGUGUAGAGGUGAAAUUCGUAGAUAUUCGCAAGAACACCAGUGGCGAAGGCGGCUCACUGGCCCGAUACUGACGCUGAGGUGCGAAAGCGUGGGGAGCAAACAGG
rnacentral:rRNA from 1 species